rnacentral:rRNA from 1 species
CACGUAAUUAGCCGGUCCUUAUUCGUAUGGUACUGUCAUUUUCUUCCCAUACAAAAGAUUUUUACAACCCGAAGGCCUUCUAAAUCACGCGGCGUCGCUGCAUCAGGGUUUCCCCCAUUGUGCAAAAUUCCCCACUGCUGCCUCCCGUAGGAGUCCGGGCCGUGUCUCAGUCCCAAUGUGGCCGUACACUCUCUCAAGCCGGCUACUGAUCGUUGCCUUGGUAGGCUUUUACCCUACCAACUAGCUAAUCAGACGCGAGUCCAUCUUAUACCGAUAAAUCUUUGAUCAAAUUAUCAUGCGAUUAUUUGAUGUCAUAGGGUAUUAUUCGUCGUUUCCAACGGCUAUCCCCUUGUACAAGGCAGGUUACUCACGCGUUACUCACCCGUCCGCCACUAAUCCAAUUAAAUUCAUUCCGAAGAAAUCUUUUAAUCUUCAUCGUUCGACUUGCAUGUGUUAUGCACGCCGCCAGCGUUUAUCCUGAGCCAGGAUCAAAACUCU